rnacentral:rRNA from 1 species
GAUGAACGCUGGCGGCGUGCCUAAUACAUGCAAGUCGAGCGAACAGAUGAGGAGCUUGCUCCUCUGACGUUAGCGGCGGACGGGUGAGUAACACGUGGAUAACCUACCUAUAAGACUGGGAUAACUUCGGGAAACCGGAGCUAAUACCGGAUAAUAUAUUGAACCGCAUGGUUCAAUAGUGAAAGACGGUUUUGCUGUCACUUAUAGAUGGAUCCGCGCCGCAUUAGCUAGUUGGUAAGGUAACGGCUUACCAAGGCAACGAUGCGUAGCCGACCUGAGAGGGUGAUCGGCCACACUGGAACUGAGACACGGUCCAGACUCCUACGGGAGGCAGCAGUAGGGAAUCUUCCGCAAUGGGCGAAAGCCUGACGGAGCAACGCCGCGUGAGUGAUGAAGGUCUUCAGAUCGUAAAACUCUGUUAUUAGGGAAGAACAAAUGUGUAAGUAACUAUGCACGUCUUGACGGUACCUAAUCAGAAAGCCACGGCUAACUCCGUG